rnacentral:rRNA from 1 species
UACGUAGGGGGCAAGCGUUGUCCGGAAUCAUUGGGCGUAAAGAGCGCGUAGGCGGUCCGGUAAGUCAGCUGUGAAAGUCAAGGGCUCAACCCUUGAAAGCCGGUUGAUACUGUCGGGCUAGAGUCCGGAAGAGGCGAGUGGAAUUCCCGGUGUAGCGGUGAAAUGCGCAGAUAUCAGGAGGAACACCGAUGGCGAAGGCAGCUCGCUGGGACGGUACUGACGCUGAGGCGCGAAAGCGUGGGGAGCAAACAGG